rnacentral:rRNA from 1 species
CUUGGAGGAAUGUAUAGCAACUGCUAGUUGCACUAAAAGCUUUAGUGUGAAAUCAACUUAGUUGAAUAAAAUUCUGGGUGGAAUUAUGAUAAUGACAUUAUCUGUCCAUAAGUCUUGACCAAAUUACGUGCCAGCAGUCGCGGUAAUACGUAGAAGACAAGUGUUAUUCAUCUUUAAUAGGUUUAAAGGGUACUUAGACGGUAAAUCAAGCCUUAAAAAGGGACUAAUCUGCUAGAGUUUUAUGUGAAAAAGUAUUAAAGUACUGCUGGUGUAGAGAUGAAAUUCUGUCAUACCUUGAAUGGCACAGGUUAAGGCGAAAGCAUCUUUUUAUGUAAAAACUGACGUUGAAGGACGAAGGCUUUGUGUCUCGAACAGGAUUAGAUACCCUAGUAGUCUAAGCAGACAAUGAUGAAUGUCAUAGAUUAGAUGUAAUUUGAUCUAUAAAUGAAAGUGUAAGCAUUCCACCUCAAGAGUAAUUUGGCAACAUUGGAACUGAAAUCAUUAGACCGUUUCUGAAACCAGUAGUGAUGUAUGUUGUUUAAUUUGAUAAUCCGCAAAAAACCUUACCACUAUUUGAAUAGAUAUAUUUUAUCAUACAAGCGUUGCACGGCUGUCUUCAGUUAAUGUCGUGAGACUUUGGUUAGUUCCAUAAAAUUAACGUAAACCCUUACUUUAUUUACUAAUAAAGUAGUUCACCGCUAUAUUGGAUAUGAUAACAGGGAUCAAGACAAGUCAUCAUGACCUAAAUAUUGUGGGCU